AGUGCUUCGAAUUAUGCAUAAUGUUAAAUAUAGAGAACACACUAAUAAUUUGUUUAUAAAAUCGAAAUUGUUAAAACUAGGAGACAUAGUGAAAUUACAGACUUUAACUAUUAUGUUUAGGGCGAAAAAUAAAACACUACCUCUUAAGUUACAAAGUUUAUUUGUAUUGUGUUCAGAAAAUGGGGACAGCAGAAGGAAGUUUUAUUUUAAGCACCGCUUUGCUUGAACCACACAAAGGCAAAUGUGUCCAACAGUCAUAGGCAUAAGAAACUGGAAUUCUCUCAGUGAUCAUCUUAAGUGUUGUAUAAAUGUUUCUCAAUUUAAAAUCUGCUACAAGAAUAAAAUGAUAAACCGAUAUGAAGAAGUUGAAAAGAAUAGAAUUUAAUUGCAGAAAAAUGAUCCUUUUAGUUUGAUUUUUAGUGGUAUUGCUCAUUGUUGAGUAUAUUGUUCUGUUUGCUUUGUUUUGUUUUAUUAUGUGCAGAAAAUUGUCAUAGUGUAAUUUUGGUUGCCUACUUGUAUUAUCACAGAUAGGGGGCAGGUAUCAAUAAGAAUUUAUUCUUCUUCCUGCUCCUUUUCAUGCAUGGAAACAGUGUUACUUUAAUUGAAAGGAAGGUUGUGUAUGGGAAUGCAUUACUGCUGUACCAUGUGUGAAACAAAAAAAUAAAAUAAAAUAAAAUAAAAUAAAAUAAAAAUAUCCACUAUUCUUCUGCACAUCCACAAACCAUCUCAGCCUUAGCUCUUUGACUUUGUCUCCAGACUGCUCGACCUGAGCCGUCCCUCUGAUGUACUCCUUUCUAGUCCUGUCACUCCCAGUGAAAAGCUUAAAAUCUUCAUCUCUGCAUCCUGUCUUUGUCAGUGCUACAAUCUUCAAACCAGACAUCAUAGCAGUUCUCUCGUUCACAUUGCAAACCCUUCCUUCUGUCACAAAUCAACCCUGACACUCGAUGUUCCUCUGCUCUCCAGAACAUACCUCCACCUCUCCAAGCUCUCUUCCACCUGCUCCCUACUCUCACUACAGAUCACAAACACAUUUCACAGAAACUACCAUCAACCUGUCAUCAGCAUCAACCUAAUCCCUGAUGCAGGCCUUGUCAGGCCUGAUAGGCGAGCAAAACUAGUGAACUCAAAAGCAAAACCAAAAGAGACCGUCCUAAACUUUUUUCAUAAAGACUUAUUUCACACAAAAAGGAAUUCAGACAAUAGAAGACUUGUCUAGAACUCUGGGGAAAUGCACAGGUCUGAUGAGGCACAGCCAGGUGGUCCUACUGGCUGAGGAGCGAGAAAUCCAGAACUCCGCCCCAGGAGGGGCGCAUGAACCGGAUCUUGACAACCCUAACCUUGAACUCAUCUGUCACACUGCAUACCUCAUACAUGCCCUUAUACGUAGAUUAUGAGGAACAACUUUGAAAGAAAAUACAAAAAAACAAAACAAAACCCAACCAUCCCCCCAAUAAUUGUACUCAGUCUGUUUGUAAAUAUAGUAAACAUCUAAGUUGAAUUAAAAAGAAUAUUCUAUAUUUAAAAGAAGACAAAGCAUUUCACGUUAUUUUAACCCCCACCCCUUCCUUUUAUCACAGCAGCUAACUCGUUUCUAAAAUUAGAUUUUUAUCUUUUUUUAGUACAUGUUUUUG
ensembl:lncRNA